AUGGGCUUUAGCUUAAAAAAAGCGUUUGGCUGUUAACCAAUUGAUGUAGAAUAAGUUUACAAGCCUGUU
rnacentral:tRNA from 1 species